UAUCCAGACUCCUACGGGAGGCAGCAGUGGGGAAUAUUGCACAAUGGGGGAAACCCUGAUGCAGCGACGCCGCGUGAGCGAUGAAGUAUUUCGGUAUGUAAAGCUCUAUCAGCAGGGAAGAAGAUGACGGUACCUGACUAAGAAGCCCCGGCUAACUACGUGCCAGCAGCCGCGGUAAUACGUAGGGGGCAAGCGUUAUCCGGAUUUACUGGGUGUAAAGGGAGCGUAGACGGCGAUGCAAGCCAGAUGUGAAAGCCCGGGGCUCAACCCCGGGACUGCAUUUGGAACUGUGUGGCUGGAGUGUCGGAGAGGCAGGCGGAAUUCCUAGUGUAGCGGUGAAAUGCGUAGAUAUUAGGAGGAACACCGGCGGCGAAGGCGGCCUGCUGGACCGCGACUGACGUUGAGGCUCGAAAGCGUGGGGAGCGAACAGGAUUAGAUACCCCUGUAAG
rnacentral:rRNA from 1 species